rnacentral:lncRNA from 1 species
GUUUAAGCCAUACAGCUUUUUGCUGAUUUUCCAUUCUAGGCCCUACAAUGAAAUUACUGCUGGAUGAAUCCAAAGAAUCGGCAUGUGAUUUUGAGUUAAAGUUUCUCCAACUACAAAAUUGAGAGGGCUUGCUCCUCCGAAAGACUAAAGUGUUCUAGUGAUGACAGUAAGAUUUAUCCAGAAAAGAUGUACAGGAUCCUGCGUUGCAUCUAGGAACGUGACUGAGUACCUCGGGAAAGAAUGCACGAAACUGCUCAAACUGGGGAAAAAAGAACUGCUACAAGGAAUUUUCUGGACAUUGUCAAAUCAUUCAUACCAAGCCUGAGGAAAGACUGUCAGAAGGAUAUUUAUUUGUUAGAGGAAGAAUUCAUAUUGCAGCCUUGCUCU